ensembl:lncRNA
UAGCAAGUAGGCUGGAAAUUGACCACCGGUGGUGGAAGGUCUGGUGAAGAAGAGGAGGAGGAGGAAUCAUCAGUGGGAAUCUGGCAGCCCUCAAGCAGCAGGAUCCCAAUCUAACAGCAUUAUCCCCAACCUGGAAGGAGUAAAGUGGUGGGAAAUUAUGACUUCCAGUCAGUCAUCAUCAUAAAGCUCCGUUCAGCUGACGCCAGCCUUGAAGCCCGCGCUAAGCGGCCUCAUUGCAACAGAGGAUAAAUCCAUUGCUACGGAUGUUGCAUGCAGGUGGUCACGGGACCGGUCGCAGUCUACGGUUGUAUGUAUAAUAUUCAAUAUGAAGGGAUGGGUGGCAGCAGAAGCUUCCGAGUCCUCACAGGUUCAUGAAUAUAUUGAUGCACUUGAGUUUCACCAUAUGUUUUGUGAUUCUGUAAUAAUUGUUUCUAAAUAGCUUCUCUGUCGCCUGAACCCUUUUUGGGAACGUCUCAAUCUGCACUCACACACGAGCAGUGAAAUAAGGCGAGUCGUUAGGAAGGCACGCCGAAGCGGCGUUCGUUGCGCUGACUUUGAUUGGAGAGGGUUGCUGUCAGAUGAAGUCUUACGGCACCCGUCAGGGCAGUAAUACAAGCUGAGAGGAAAUAACAUCUAUUUCUC